CCUCAUGCCCUCAUCGUCAUUAUUGUCUCCCGUUCGCUUCUUCUUCUUCCACAGAUUCCAAUCCCCACUUCAAUGCUCUCCCCUUGGUCUGCCAUUACUGCCACCUCCUCUUCCCCCCUCCCCUUAAAACAUCAUCAAAACUAGUAACGGUGGUCGACUCCCCUUCCUUACUACUGACGAUGGCUAACUUCCUUUUCAUUUCUCUCCUCCAAACCUAUUAGAAUCUCGUUCUCGAUCUGUGGCAUAAGAGGUGUCUCGAUGAUGGCAAGCCAAAAUCCGAGAAGGCCAAGUAGAUUUGAAGAAGUAGGCACAUCGAUGAUGGAAGGGGUUCUCGUCCAAGUUGAUUUUGUGCUUGACUGAGGUUCCUCAUUUUAAUAUCGUGGUGCCAAUUCUGAGAUAGACGAGUGUGGGAUGUUCAGGGGUUUUCUUUUUGUGUGAGAUAGUGAAGGUUUCCCUUGGUGUUGGGUUUUUUGUCCUUGCUCUUUUGUUUUGGUUCUUCAUCCUUGCUCCUUGCUUUGAGUCUUGUAGCCUCAAUUUCUAGGUUUGAUUUGUUUCUGGUUCAAACGAGGAGGGCGAAGAGAUGACAGAUAUGUUCCUUUGAUUCUUCAUCGGUUAGCUUUGCCAUCCACUAUUCACCUCCCUUUGCCAGAUAUGAUUUCCUCUACGGUUUGGGUUCAAAUGUUUGAUUUUGGUUCCCUUGAUUUCUCGAAGAUGUUUCACCGGCAAUGAAGGAUGAAGAUGAGGGGGGGAAGGGAGAUCCGUUAGCUUGGGGUGAGAUGGAUGAGAUUACGUAUCAAAGUCAAAGAAAUAUCUGACAUGGCAAGGGAGAGAAACGUGAUGUGGACGUCCAAUGAUGUACAAAACAAUUAAAUGUUCAAAGUUAACAGUGGCAAAAUUAUACUAAAUUAAAAAACUUUGGGGCUAAUGUUAUAACAAGGGAUUUGACCUUUAACCAUCCUUACCAAGAAAUCAUUGAACUGAAAGGCCUCGCUUAAUUUCAUGUAUAGGGAAGCUAAUAUUAAUGUUGAUUGUUUAGCAAGAACUUGUCAUUCACUUGAUAAUGUUUUGCACAUCUUUGAUCAACAACUAGCUUUUUUAUAAGGGUGUGAUAGUUUGUAACAUCACAAAAUUAAUUCAAGAUUAAUUAAGCUAAUUAAAAGCAAAUGAGUAAUUUUAAAGGAAUACUUAGAUAUAUAUAAUUGUAGUUAGAAAAUUAUUAUUUAUAUUUAAUCUAGAUAAAAUUUUAAGUUAU